rnacentral:rRNA from 1 species
AAGUCGAACGCAGUAGCAAUACUGAGUGGCAAACGGGUGAGUAUAAUGUGGGAAUCUGCCUUUUGGUUCGGAAUAACACGAGGAAACUUGUGCUAAUACCGGAUAAGCCCUUACGGGGAAAGUUUUAAUGCCAAAAGAUGAGCCCGCACUUGAUUAGCUAGUUGGUAAGGUAAUGGCUUACCAAGGCAAAGAUGUCUAGCGGGGGUGAGAGCACGACCCGCGUCAUUGGCACUGAGACACUGGCCAAACUCC